GGCUGCUUAGCUCAGUUGGUUAGAGCGAUGCUCUCAUGAGGCAUAGGUCCCCGGUUCAACCCCGGGAGCAGCCA
rnacentral:tRNA from 1 species